GAUGAACGCUAGCGGCAGGCUUAAUACAUGCAAGUCGAGGGGUAGCAAGAUUGUAGCAAUACAAUUGUUGACGACCGGCAAACGGGUGCGGAACACGUACACAACCUUCCUACAAGUGGGGAAUAGCCCAGAGAAAUUUGGAUUAAUACCCCGUAACAUAAUGAUGUGGCAUCACAUUAUUAUUAUAGCUUCGGCGCUUAUUGAUGGGUGUGCGUCUGAUUAGAUAGUUGGCGGGGUAACGGCCCACCAAGUCUACGAUCAGUAGCGGAUGUGAGAGCAUGAUCAGCCACACGGGCACUGAGACACGGGCCCGACUCCUACGGGAGGCAGCAGUAAGGAAUAUUGGUCAAUGGACGCAAGUCUGAACCAGCCAUGCCGCGUGAAGGAUUAAGGUCCUCUGGAUUGUAAACUUCUUUUAUCUGGGACGAAAAAAGGCGAUUCUUCGUCACUUGACGGUACCAGAUGAAUAAGCACCGGCUAACUCCGUGCCAGCCGCCGCAGUAAGAC
rnacentral:rRNA from 1 species